CUGUUUAACAAAAACAUCGCCUUUAGCCNAAUCAAGUAUUAAAGGUCCCGCCUGCCCAGUGAAUAACUUUUAACGGCCGCGGUAUCCUAACCGUGCAAAGGUAGCGUAAUCACUUGUCCUCCAAAUAGGGACCCGUAUGAAUGGCUAACUGAGGGCAUAACUGUCUCCUGAUGCCCGCUAAUGAAACUGAUCUACUGGUACAAAAGCCAGUAUACACCCACAAGACGAGAAGACCCUGUGGAGCUUACAAACUUCCCCGCUACUAAACAUAGCACUACCUCACGAGACCAUGUACACCUUAGACUAGCGGCCGUUUUAAGUUGGGGCGACUACGGAGCAUAACAAAACCUCCAAGAAAUUAAGGCUAACACACCUUCCCCUAGGCACACACGCCAAAACAACUAAUAGACCCAGUACAACUGAACACCGAACCAAGUUACCCCAGGGAUAACAGCACCAUCCCCCUCCAGAGUCCCUAUCGCCAGGGGGGUUUAUGACCUCGAUGUUGGAUCAGGACA
rnacentral:rRNA from 1 species